rnacentral:rRNA from 1 species
UGGGGAAUUUUGGACAAUGGGCGAAAGCCUGAUCCAGCAAUGCCGCGUGUGUGAAGAAGGCCUUCGGGUUGUAAAGCACUUUUGUCCGGAAAGAAAUCCUUGGUUCUAAUAUAGCCGGGGGAUGACGGUACCGGAAGAAUAAGCACCGGCUAACUACGUGCCAGCAGCCGCGGUAAUACGUAGGGUGCGAGCGUUAAUCGGAAUUACUGGGCGUAAAGCGUGCGCAGGCGGUUUGCUAAGACCGAUGUGAAAUCCCCGGGCUCAACCUGGGAACUGCAUUGGUGACUGGGCAGGCUAGAGUAUGGCAGAGGGGGGUAGAAUUCCACGUGUAGCAGUGAAAGUGCGUAGAGAUGUGGAGGAAUACCGAUGGCGAAGGCAGCCCCCUGGGGCCAAAUACUGACGCUCAUGCACGAAAGCGUGGGGAGCAAACAGGAUUCAGAUACCCUGGUAGUCCAGCGCCCUAAACGAUGUCAACUAGUUGUUGGGGACUUCAUUUCCUUAGUAACGUAGCUAACGCGUGAAGUUGACCGCCUGGGGAGUACGGUCGCAAGAUUAAAACUUAAAUGAAUUGAC